GGGGGCGUAUUUUGGUUUCGACGGGGGUACUGGAGUAUUUAAAUAGCGAGUAGAGUUUUAGUGGAUUCUCUUAAAAAAUUUACUAAAAAAAGUAAACGACAAAAAUUAUUCUUUACAAGCUGCUUAAUUAAUAGCUAGCUUCAUCUAGUUUGCGAGUCCUACGGCGUAGAUGUAGGUGUAAAAUUUAAGUAGGGAAACGAGCCUUAAAAAGCUUUGAUUAAGGAACGGGAUUUAUGAAGCUACUUUAUAUAAAUUUUGUUUAUGGAAGUUAUAUAGGGGAAUUUAAAACAUAAACUGCACUCGGAGAAGUUUAAAUAUGACUACUUUCGGACAGGGGUUCAAUUCCCCUCGCCUCCACCA
rfam:Candidatus Arthromitus sp. SFB-mouse-Japan DNA, complete genome.